rnacentral:sRNA from 1 species
AGACUAGGAACAAAAGCUAAAAGAACGCCACGUCCUGUGGCAACGCUUUUGUGACCAACAUCGUGUUGG